rnacentral:lncRNA from 1 species
GAAGAAGGAUUCUCGAAAGGCAUCUAAAUAUUGACGUCGACUAUUAACUGAUGAUUCAAUACUGAAAAUAGAUCAUUGUCGGAAUAAAGAAAUAUCAUACUAUUUCUACAUAUCUAUCACAAGAAGUCAAAAAACUUAAUAUUGAGAUUGUUGUGUAGAUAAUCCGAUAUCCGAUCUAACCUUUCUCUCAUCAUCGAUUUAUGGCCAAGCACUCAUC